rnacentral:rRNA from 1 species
GACGAACGCUGGCGGCGUGCUUAACACAUGCAAGUCGAACGGAAAGGCCCUUCGGGGUACUCGAGUGGCGAACGGGUGAGUAACACGUGGGUGAUCUGCCAUGCACUUUGGGAUAAGCCUGGGAAACUGGGUCUAAUACCGAAUAGGACCACGCGCUUCAUGGUGUGUGGUGGAAAGCUUUUGCGGUGUGGGAUGGGCCCGCGGCCUAUCAGCUUGUUGGUGGGGUAAUGGCCUACCAAGGCGACGACGGGUAGCCGGCCUGAGAGGGUGACCGGCCACACUGGGACUGAGAUACGGCCCAGACUCCUACGGGAGGCAGCAGUGGGGAAUAUUGCACAAUGGGCGCAAGCCUGAUGCAGCGACGCCGCGUGAGGGAUGACGGCCUUCGGGUUGUAAACCUCUUUCACCAGGGACGAAGCGUAAGUGACGGUACCUGGAGAAGAAGCACCGGCCAACUACGU